rnacentral:rRNA from 1 species
GAGCACGAAGGUUGGCUAAUCCUGGUCGGACAUCAGGAGGUUAGUGCAAUGGCAUAAGCCAGCUUGACUGCGAGCGUGACGGCGCGAGCAGGUGCGAAAGCAGGUCAUAGUGAUCCGGUGGUUCUGAAUGGAAGGGCCAUCGCUCAACGGAUAAAAGGUACUCCGGGGAUAACAGGCUGAUACCGCCCAAGAGUUCAUAUCGACGGCGGUGUUUGGCACCUCGAUGUCGGCUCAUCACAUCCUGGGGCUGAAGUAGGUCCCAAGGGUAUGGCUGUUCGCCAUUUAAAGUGGUACGCGAGCUGGGUUUAGAACGUCGUGAGACAGUUCGGUCCCUAUCUGCCGUGGGCGCUGGAGAACUGAGGGGGGCUGCUCCUAGUACGAGAGGACCGGAGUGGACGCAUCACUGGUGUUCGGGUUGUCAUGCCAAUGGCACUGCCCGGUAGCUAAAUGCGGAAGAGAUAAGUGCUGAAAGCAUCUAAGCACGAAACUUGCCCCGAGAUGAGUUCUCCCUGACUCCUUGAGAGUCCUGAAGGAACGUUGAAGACGACGACGUUGAUAGGCCGGGUGUGUAAGCGCAGCGAUGCGUUGAGCUAACCGGUACUAAUGAACCGUGAGGCUUAACCUUACAACGCCGAAGGUGUUU